AUGCUGGAGGGUGAAGAAGGAGACUUUAUGGCUGUCCUGGAACUGGGGAUAGAACCCAGGAGUCCUGACUCCUGCCCAGCCCAGAUGGGGAACCCCACACCCCCCUUCGCCUUCCCCCUGGUUUCCUGCUGCACCAAGACUGGCAAUGCUCCCCCGGACACAAGCUUGGCCUGCCUAGUAACGGGCUAUUCCCCAUCACCAGUGGAGAUCAAGUGGAAUUCGGGCAAAGUGACCCAGGAGGUCACAACUUUCCCAGAGGUGACGGUGAGCAACGGGCGCUUCACCCAGAGCAGCCUGCUGAUCAUCCCUGCCAGGCCCCGGCAGGGCGACACCUACCAGUGCGAUGUGACACAUCAAGGGACAGCAACGAUCGAGUCGAAGAAGUUCCCUCAGGAGUGGUGUGGUUUGACAGCACCACCUGAGGUUCACCUGCUGGUGCCCACCUGCGAGGAGAGCUCCACGGAGAGCCAGCUGGAGCUGGUUUGCCUCCUCCUGAGCUUCAAACCCAACAAAGCCAACGUGAAAUGGCUGGUGAAUGGAAAGGAGAGCAGCCCCCCCACCCCGGCCUUUUCCUCUGCAAUGGGCACAGACGGCUUCUACAUGGGACAGAGCCGCAUGAACGUCACCAAGCAGAGCUGGGAGAAGGGGGACGUCUACACCUGCCAAGUGACCCACCCAGCAGUGGGAGCAGAGCUCUCCAUGCACAACACCAGCAAGUGUUUGGCCUGCCUCAGAAGCUCACUUGACCCAACCAUCUACUUAACCAAACCCUCCUAUGAAGACAUCAUCAUAAAUUCUGGUCAUGUUACCUGUCUAGUUCUGGGCUUUGACUUAGCAGCCAGCAGAAUUGCAGGAAAGUGGAUGGGCAAGUCAGCUCUGCGGUGAAGACAGAACCCCCCAAGAAGAACAGCAAAGGGACCACCAGCCUGGUCAGUUCUCACCCUGUGUCGCUGGCACAAUGGGGACAAGGCACCCAAUUUACCUGCGAAGUGACCACACCCUGUUCUGGAGAACUAACCGAGGACAUAACCAUGAGCAAUACAGGUGUCAGCAACUGUAAUCAACACCCUCUGGAGGUGUCUCUCCUCCCCCCUUCCCUGAAGGACCUCUACAUAGCGCAGAACGCCACCAUCAGUUGUUUGGUGAGCGGCAUGUAUAUCCCAGCAGCCUGGAGGUCUCCUGGAACCGGGGUAGCGGGGGCCCGUUGGCCGUGGUCUCCAGGGAUCCGGUGCUGCAGGAAGAUGGCACCUACAGUGCAACCAGCAUCCUGCCGGUGUGCAUGGAGGAGUGGCAGGCAGGGGAGGAGUUCACCUGCACCGUGAAGCACCAAGACUUCCCGUCGGCCAUUGUCAAGACCAUCCGCAAGAGUCACAUGGUCUCCCUCCGGGCCCCUUCUGUCUACAUCUCCCCUCCUCACACUGAGGAACUGGCUCUCCAGGAAUCAGCCACCAUCACCUGCCUGGCCUCCGGGUUCCGGCCCAGAGACAUCUUGGUGACAUGGACCCAGCAGGAUCGGCCCGUGCCCCAGGAAGCCUACACCAACGUCGGCCCCGUGUGGGAGGCUGGGAAGGAGGAGCGCUACUUCAUCUACAGCAAGCUCAAUGUCUUGGUGUCCGAAUGGGAAUGGGGGGACACCUACGCCUGCAUGGUGGGGCACGAGGGUCUGCCCAUGACCUUCAUCCACUGGAGCAUGGACAAAGCCUCUGCUCCUCACUGCCCAGUGGAGGACCAAGGCAUCGAUGCUGAAGGAGGAGAGGAGGAAUCUGACGGUCUCUGGACAUCUGUUGCCUUCAUUGCUCUCUUCCUGCUCAGCCUGUUGUACAGCGCCGGCGUCACGCUGCUUAAGGUGCAGGGAGUGCCCGGCUCCAGGCUCCUAGGAGGUGGACAGCAUUGCUUCAUCCUCUUCCUUCCCUCCCUCCAUCGUCAGCCCUCCCGGGCUCCUGCCCCUUCUCUGGACACCUGGAGGGACCAUGUUCCACGGCAGCUCAGAGAGAGUGACAACGGCUGCUGA